rnacentral:rRNA from 1 species
UCUUUGAACGCAAGUUGCGCGCGAGGCUUGUCCAAGGGCAUUUCCGCUAGAGCGUCACC